CUGGGUCAUCGCUAAUGAACUGUCAUUAAUCAAUCUUCUUACCUGUUUCAGACUUGUACUUGUGACCUUGACCAUACAUUAUUAUCGGGAAACCCUUUAUUUUGAAAACUACACUAUGCUUUUAAAUGUUAGUACUACUUGACUAUACUUUAAAUACUUUGACUUAUAGGGAUAUUUAUGGAAUUAAACUCUCCUACCGUUAAUAUUGGUAAUAAUCAUUUAAUUGAGAUAGAACCAUUCGAAUUUAAACAUGUAGUAAACCUGAAUACGGGUUCUACAUAAU
rnacentral:lncRNA from 1 species